UUUUGUGCAAAACUUUAAGGCAUUAAUUUGACUCCAUAGAAAACACCAUAUAAAGUUAAACAGAAAUUAUUAUUCUAUAUUUUAAAUACUAUCACAAUGAAACAAUAUUUUGUCUGUGCUUGCCCAAACAAAAAUGUAGAGAUAAUUGUUAUUAGAAUGUUGCUAUGCAGUUGCUGGGGUUUUCUACAUUGUUAUUUAACACAUUUAUGUUGUUUUUAGGGUGUUCUCAUGCUGCAGGGGUGAGCAAUAGUUACCUUAGCAAUCACCACUAAUUAUAAAACCAACACCUCCAACGCAUACUGGGAAAACGCGUGUCAUCCUGUAUAUCACAAUAUGUGAAGUAUUAUUAUUGGAAACGCAACCAGGCAUAAAUUCUCAAAAUUUCUGUUAAUUCCUACUAUUUCAGGUACGUUGCAGCUUAAUUGCUUUGCUUGCUCUAUUAGUUUGUUUCGUUGUGCAUCAUUUGAUCUCUGUACAGCACUCACAACACUAAACUCUUGAUUAACCAAGCCAGUGGCAGUUCCAGUCUCUAAAGGGAAUGAUGCAUAAGCACUUUUCUUCUCGCGCCCGUGUAUCUCGUCAAACAUUUAAAUGAAAUGCCGCACAUGAGUUUGUGUGUUUCAUUUCACGAGCAUGCACUGAGUGAGGUGGUGUCACUCAUAAUUAUCUGUCUGUCAGCUUGAGAACAGAAUAAGCAAAGCACACACUGUUCAUAACUCUCCUCUCCUGUCACACUCAGUUGGUGCUUGUUCUCAGGAUAAGGACGCAUGACUCUGUCAAACAUUUAAGUUUGCUUGCCACUUCAACAAUACCUAAAACCCUGAAUCUGGGCAAACCACCAACUAACUGAAACCUACAACCUUUCGACAGGCUCACAGCGCAGACCGGGGCAAUUGUACAUCCUGUUACAGCACUCGGUGUGCCCUGCUCCCAGUCCAGCUGUGCUGUAAUGCACUUCUGAGCUGGUGGGAUCGGACCGAAGCUCUGCUCAAUAGCAGCAGGAUUUUUGGGAUUUUACGAGGAUCUCAAUGAGGAGUGGAUUCCGCUGUUCCUUGAGACAGCUCAGAGGAGCUUGCGCAUACAGGCAAGGAGCGUGCAAGGUUGUGUGCUGUGAGAGAGAAGUUGUUUUUCCUUUUCUUUUGUUGUGUAAUCUGCAAUGUCAACUCAUAUGUCUGUUACUGUCUAACACCACCAGCCACCUAUUUCAGGACCGCUUCAGCACAACAAUUCCCACACAAUUCAAUUAACGGACUGAAAAUAGGGCUCCCAAGACUGUCUUUGUUACAGCACUAAUAUGACUGCCAACGGGAGAAUGUAGUCCGUUAAAAGAUUCUCCUCCACUAAUUCUCCAAGAAGGCCAUAUUCUAAGCUAAAGAGGCCUUUGUCUUACACUUCCUUUUGGCACGCAGAGCUCCGGCGUCCUCAUCUCACAUUGACGGCACUCCUAUUGUGCUCUCCAGAUGAGCUGCUUUAAUUGAGCUUUGCUCUAGAUCUGUUUAAUUUAACUGGAUAGAUAUUUGCUUUCAUUAGUGGAAUGUGUUGGGUUGACCUUUGAAGUACUUAUUUAGAGCCAUGUGGUUAAUUGAAAACUUUUGUAAAGCUGCUAUUAAAUUACCGGCAACAUGCAUAAAGAUUUUCUGGGAAACAUGCUCGUAUUCGGUACUGAACAGAAAGAUUAGCGUUAUCUGGUGAAAUUAAAUUGAAUGUUUACAGGGUCGCUUCUGUUAUGCAGUACCUUUGAACUGUAACUUUUACAAAAUGAAUAUGCUUGGCUGCAUUCACAGUCACACAGUGAUUAGGAUUGACUGUAUUUACUAACUGUACUUGUUCACUUUGAGGCUGUCAUGAGCAUUUCAAAAUUUGCAGAUAAUGUUUUUCCUCCAUUUAGUACUUAAAGCUGCAAUCCCUAAAUUUUGCCUCUUUGUCGCCAUCUCUGUUUGAAACCUGCAAUUGCAGUUAUUUGCGGAAUUAUCAUCUUUACGUAGGUUGCGCAUCAGCACGGCUCCUCAGCGCGGAUGAAUCUAAUGUUUU